UACGGAGGGUGCGAGCGUUAAUCGGAAUUACUGGGCGUAAAGCGCGCGUAGGCGGCUUUGUAAGUUAGAGGUGAAAGCCCGGGGCUCAACCCCGGAACUGCCUUUAAGACUGCAUCGCUUGAAUCCGGGAGAGGUGAGUGGAAUUCCGAGUGUAGAGGUGAAAUUCGUAGAUAUUCGGAAGAACACCAGUGGCGAAGGCGGCUCACUGGCCCGAUACUGACGCUGAGGCACGAAAGCGUGGGGAGCAAACAGG
rnacentral:rRNA from 1 species